UACAGAGGUCCCAAGCGUUGUUCGGAUUCACUGGGCGUAAAGGGUGCGUAGGUGGUGAGGUAAGUCGGAUGUGAAAGCUCGGAGCUCAACUCCGAAAUGGCAUUGGAAACUACCUUGCUCGAGGGUUGGAGGGGGGAUUGGAAUUCUCGGUGUAGCAGUGAAAUGCGUAGAUAUCGAGAGGAACACCAGUGGCGAAGGCGAGUCCCUGGACAACUCCUGACACUGAGGCACGAAAGCUAGGGGAGCAAACAGG
rnacentral:rRNA from 1 species